rnacentral:lncRNA from 1 species
GGUUCUGCUGUGUCAUGCAAGAAGGAGGCGGCGGCGGCGGCCGGAGCUGGAGGGGGAGGAGGGGAGGAACCUGAUCCUCGGUAGCGAAGGGCUGGAGGCAAACACCGAGCUCCCCCUGAGCCGCCUGGGAGCAGGGAGGGUUCUGCUACCCUGAGGGGCCCUCCCCGCGGGGCAGAGGGUGGGAGGAAGUCACAGCAUCUACUUCUGAAUCUGUGCUUGCCUUGAGGAAAAACGGCAUGGCACAGGAAUGUGGACGCUUUCAACCAGAGGAUUCUGUACGACGGUGUCGGCACACACUCAUCCUCGUCUACGGCCAAACGUUGGUUUCUCAUUUCUAGAAGAUGAAAGAUGUGAUGACUCAGGAAAAACUGGAAUCUUAGUAACUGUGGUGGGCAUUGAGCCUUGCCGUCCACAAGAGAAAGCUUGCUGCUCGAGAUGUGAGUCUUCAGAUGUUCCUGCCGCCAUAUCUGACAGCUGCUGCCAAGAUUCCCUGGUGGGAUGGACUCUUAUACCUCAACAACCAGAAGCCCAAGUAAACUCUUCUAUAAAUUGAAUGACUCAUGCUUAAAAAAAAAAACAAAAAACAAACUAUCUUUA